rnacentral:rRNA from 1 species
GAUACCCUGGUAGUCCACGCCGUAAACGAUGAGUGCUAAGUGUUAGGGGGUUUCCGCCCCUUAGUGCUGCAGCUAACGCAUUAAGCACUCCGCCUGGGGAGUACGACCGCAAGGUUGAAACUCAAAGGAAUUGACGGGGGCCCGCACAAGCGGUGGAGCAUGUGGUUUAAUUCGAAGCAACGCGAAGAACCUUACCAGGUCUUGACAUCCUUUGACCACUCUGGAGACAGAGCUUUCCCUUCGGGGACAAAGUGACAGGUGGUGCAUGGUUGUCGUCAGCUCGUGUCGUGAGAUGUUGGGUUAAGUCCCGCAACGAGCGCAACCCUUGAUUUUAGUUGCCAGCAUUUAGUUGGGCACUCUAAAGUGACUGCCGGUGCAAGCCGGAGGA